GAUGAACGCUGGCGGCGUGCUUAACACAUGCAAGUCGAACGAAGCACUUUGAUCGAUUUCUUCGGAAUGAAGUUUUAGUGACUGAGUGGCGGACGGGUGAGUAACGCGUGGGUAACCUGCCUCACACAGGGGGAUAACAGUUGGAAACGGCUGCUAAUACCGCAUAAGCGCACAGUACCGCAUGGUACGGUGUGAAAAACUCCGGUGGUGUGAGAUGGACCCGCGUCUGAUUAGCUAGUUGGCAGGGCAGCGGCCUACCAAGGCGACGAUCAGUAGCCGACCUGGGAGGGUGACCGGCCACAUUGGGACUGAGAUACGGCCCAAACUCCUACGGGAGGCAGCAGUGGGGAAUAUUGCACAAUGGGGGAAACCCUGAUGCAGCGACGCCGCGUGAGCGAAGAAGUAUUUCGGUAUGUAAAGCUCUAUCAGCAGGGAAGAAAAAAUGACGGUACCUGACUAAGAAGCACCGGCUAAAUACGUGCCAGCCGCCGCCGUAA
rnacentral:rRNA from 1 species